UACGUAGGGCGCAAGCGUUAUCCGGAAUUAUUGGGCGUAAAGAGCUCGUAGGCGGUUUGUCGCGUCUGCUGUGAAAACUCGGGGCUUAACUCCGGGCCUGCAGUGGGUACGGGCAGACUAGAGUGCGGUAGGGGAGACUGGAAUCCUGGUGUAGCGGUGAAAUGCGCAGAUAUCAGGAGGAACACCGGUGGCGAAGGCGGGUCUCUGGGCCGUAACUGACGCUGAGGAGCGAAAGCGUGGGGAGCGAACAGG
rnacentral:rRNA from 1 species